AGGAAAAAAAAAUCAGAGUAAGGUAUUCUUCGCUUCUUAGAUCCCAAAGCCUCUUCUUAGGAAUGCUCUAACAACAGACAGGCUAAGCAUCUGGGCUUCUCAUUCUAAAAGAGGAUGAAAUAGAUGGAUCUAUGUCAAGUGCUGGGAUGUCUGUUAGGAAAGCAAUCAUCCUUCAGAUUUUCUGAAUUUCCAAAGAGACUGGUUAAGAAUGGCUUCUUUUUCACUGAUAAUCUUCUGUGGGUCAUGUUUGCUUACUGCAUAUUAGUACAUAUUGUCAAACUCCCCUUCAUGGAGGUGAAGGUGGGGGCCAUGGGGUAGAGUGGGUUUUUGCUGGGCGGCCAUGUUUUGUAGUGUGCGUAUACUCUCUCUUGGAGGAGAGUGUCCUGUGCAUUCUAAGCAAAUUGCAGCAAUUUAGAAUAAUGGAUAAAGCAGUAAUGCUGCUUGGAUUUCUCAAUCAUUUACCUAAUUAUCCAUCCAGUUUUGAUUUGCCAAAUCUCUUAACACACAGUCUAAUAACCGUCUUUAUUAGAAAUGACUGGCUAUGAGUCAAGGCAGGGAAAAAUAGGUGGCUAGAGUUUCCCAACUGUGAUAGGAAUUAUACCACUGGGAACUGGCCUUGGAAAUGAGUGCAUGAGGUGCAGAAGCUAGUCAAAGACUAGGCUAAGCCAAGCUGUUCACUCUUACCCAUUACUUUCCAGAAAAUAUAAGAAAGAAGGGAAGAAUAGGGAAGAUCUUCUUAGCUAUACUGGCUGGAGAGGGCAUCUGCUCUAGCAUAAAGCACUUGGGGUGUCUGUAUCAGACUGCCCGCGCCUGCUCGCUUCUUGUUGGGUCUCUGGAGCCUCUACCUACUUGGUGUGUGCGUGACUUGCCUCCUGCAAAUAAAAGAAGAUGGGAAGAUAUGAACGAGAGAACACCAUGUUGAAAGUCAGAGUAUUCAAACAGUUUGCAGCGAUGGGGUGAGGAUAAAAGAGAAGGGAAAGGAAUUACAGAAACUUCUUUAGCAGUUCUUCUCUACUCUUCUAGACAAGUCGCAAAGAGAAUAAACAUCACGUUGCGGAUUCUGCUUUAAAGCAACUUCAAUUAAGGAGGAAGAAACCAAAAGGAAGAAAGAAAAAGAGACAAGCUCUCCUUAUUUGGACAAGCUCAGUACUUUAUAAUUAGCUUUAAUUUAUUCUUAGCAUUAACUUCCUGACGUUUACUUGCUUUAUUGGCAGAGAAGCAAGGCAAUCAAUCACUUAUUUGCUUCCCCAGAAAACCCCCAAUUAAACAAAGACUGAGUCAAUCCCAACAGUGGAUUUUAUCAUUAAGCUGGAAACCAUCGUCUACUGAGAGGCAACCCCAGGGGAUGUGGACUCUGAGAAACCUGGGACCUGCCAGAGAGAGCACUCCACCCACAGAAGACAGUAUCGGCUCAUCCCUCCCACUACCCAGGAGUUUAUAUGUAAGGGGAGAAAUAAUAGGUGGUCCACGCUGAUUUGGAAAAGCAGGUUGCUGGCAAUUUCUUCAUGGCAGCAAAUACUAAGUAAGCGUGUACAAGCACGCAGUGGGUGAGAAAUCCAUCUUAAAAAGGUAGAUGAAACAUAGGAAAGAAGAUUGAAACAGUCUACGCUUCUCAAGUUUCUUAGAAAAACGCAUGAGUACUGGCAAUAAAACGAUUUUUCUUAU